UACGGAGGGGGCUAGCGUUGUUCGGAAUUACUGGGCGUAAAGCGCGCGUAGGCGGACCUGCAAGUCGGGGGUGAAAGCCCGAGGCUCAACCUUGGAACUGCCUUCGAUACUGCGGGUCUCGAGUCCGGGAGAGGUGAGUGGAAUUCCUAGUGUAGAGGUGAAAUUCGUAGAUAUUAGGAAGAACACCAGUGGCGAAGGCGGCUCACUGGCCCGGUACUGACGCUGAGGCGCGAAAGCGUGGGGAGCAAAAGGG
rnacentral:rRNA from 1 species